rnacentral:rRNA from 1 species
AUUGAACGCUGGCGGCAGGCCUAACACAUGCAAGUCGAACGAGUGGCAGACGGGUGAGUAAUGUCUGGGAAACUGCCCGAUGGAGGGGGAUAACUACUGGAAACGGUAGCUAAUACCGCAUACCAUCGGAUGUGCCCAGAUGGGAUUAGCUAGUAGGUGGGGGAAUGGCUCACCUAGGCGACGAUCCCUAGCUGGCCUGAGAGGAUGACCGGCCACACUGGAACGGGGACACGGUCCAGACUCCUACGGGGGGCGGCAGUGGGGAAUAUUGCACAAUGGGCGCAAGCCGGAUGCAGCCAUGCCGCGUGUAUGAAGAAGGCCUUCGGGUUGUAAAGUACUUUCAUCGGGGAGGCGUUACCCGCAGAAGAAGCACCGGCUAACUCCGUGCCAGCAGCCGCGGUAAUUC